AAUCAACGCUGGCGGCGUGCCUAACACAUGCAAGUCGCACGAGAAAGGGGAGCAAUCCCUGAGUAAAGUGGCGCACGGGUGAGUAACACGUGAAUCAUCUACCUCCGAGUGGGGAAGUAACUGAGAGAAAUCUUAGCUAAUACCGCAUAACACUUACGAGUCAAAGCAGCAAUGCGCUUGGAGAGGAGUUCGCGGCCGAUUAGUUAGUUGGCGGGGUAAGUGGCCC
rnacentral:rRNA from 1 species